rnacentral:rRNA from 1 species
GCUAUACAUUUUAAUUUUUAACUCUAUUUAUUGUAGUAUCUUUUUUUGUUUUAUUUUUUUUAUAUCAUUUUUGUAAAAUGUUUUAAUUUUAUUAUACUUUUAAAGAUAUUGAAAAUUUGUUUGUUGAACUGGAUUAGUACCCAGGUAAUCAAAAUUUAUUAAUUCGGGAGUAAAGUUUUGUUUAAACCGAAAAAAUAUUGACUGACUUUAGAUUUUUCUUUGGAACAUGUGUAUGGAGAGUCCUCUUUUUUAGUGAGUUUUAUUGGCACAUGUAUGAUUGUUUAGUUUUUAUGUUAUUUUGUGAUGCUUUUUUUUGUUUAAUUGAAAAACAGAUAUAUAUUUGGUUUAUAAGCUUGUUAAUCAUGUGUUACUAUUAUUAAUUUUUUUUGGAUCUUUUUUUAAUAUUUUGUGAAAUUGGAAAAGAAAGUAAUUAAAUUUUGAUA